UGUGAAACAACCUGGGGCUGAUCGCUGA
rnacentral:piRNA from 1 species